CCUACGGGAGGCAGCAGUGGGGAAUAUUGCACAAUGGGGGAAACCCUGAUGCAGCGACGCCGCGUGAGUGAAGAAGUACUUCGGUUUGUAAAGCUCUAUCAGCAGGGAAGAAAAUGACGGUACCUGAUGAAGAAGCCCCGGCUAACUACGUGCCAGCAGCCGCGGUAAUACGUAGGGGGCGAGCGUUAUCCGGAUUUACUGGGUGUAAAGGGAGCGUAGGCGGCAGGAGAAGUCUGGAGUGAAAUGCCGGGGCUUAACUCGGGAACUGCGUUGGAAACUGCGUAGCUUGAGUGAAGUAGAGGUAGGUGGAAUUCCUAGUGUAGCGGUGAAAUGCGUAGAUAUUAGGAGGAACACCAGUGGCGAAGGCGGCUUACUGGACUGUAACUGACGCUGAGGCUCGAAAGCGUGGGGAGCAAACAGGAUUAGAUACCCGAGUAGUC
rnacentral:rRNA from 1 species